CAUUGUAUCUUAAAAAGUUAUCCAUGCUAAUACAUUCUUUAGCUAGUACAGAUGAGCCUACUAUUAUGGACUAUAUUAUGUAUUUUUGAUAGAACUCCUCCAAAAAAUUAAUAAUAACUGCCCUUCUGAAAGAUGUUCUAUGGCUUCAUACAAUAUGAAUGCUCUUACUCUGAGCUAUCCAGGACCCUGUUGGUGGAGGUUGCCUGGAUACCCACCGUCCCUACCUCACAGCAAUUAAGAACAUUCUGGAAUAGUCUGUAAGAGAUCCAUGUAUUCUAUUCUAUUCUAUUUAUUUAUUUAUUUAUUUAUUUAUUUAGAGAUGGUGUUUCGCUCUGUCCCUCAGGCUGGAGUGCAGUGGCGCGAUCUCGGCUCACUGCAACCUCUGCCUCCCAGGUUCAAGUGAUUCUCCUGCCUCGGCCUCCUGAGUAGCUGGGAAUAUAGGCAUGCACCACCACAACCAGCUAAUUUUGUAUUUCUAUUAGAGAAAGGGUUUCGCUAUGUUGGCCAGGCUGGUCUCAAACUCCUGACCUCAGUUGAUUCGCCUGCCUCGGCCUCCCAAAUUGCUGGGAUUACAAGUGUGAACCACUGUACCCGGCCAAGAUCCAUGAAUUCUUCUGCACAUCAGACACUACUUAUACUUUUUACUUGGAUCAUCUGAUGUCUUGACUUCCAGAAAUGCAUUUCCCAUUGUUUAUGAUAAUAGGAGUUCUUUUCCUCUUUAAACUCUGAUCCUUUGCUCUGGAGAAGCCAGGCACCAUGGCAUGAGGCAGCCCUGUGGAGAGGUUCAUGUGGUACAGGACCAGGCCUGCAGCAUCACUUGAGAGAGGCAACAUAACUCUUUUACUGACUAUCACAGAUAGGACCACAAAACAGCCUUGUAAACUCAUCCUAGAGGAUCUAAAAGAGAACCCCCUCAUAACAGAAUGGCAUUCCCAGCUUGCAGGCUCUGAGACUCCAUUGAGUCAUGCCACAUGUAUGGAAAAUGAUUUUUGGAGUGUUAUUCUAUCUAAGGAAAAACAAAGCAAAUUUUCCACUUUCAAGAUUAAAGGACAUUCUGUCUACAUUAAGACAAGCAGGUACAAAGAAGUAAGUUACUGUUGGAUUAAGAAUAUCCAAGACAAUGGUCACAACUUGAAAGCACAUGGAAAAACAUGAAUUAUUUUUAUAAUGUCAGCUAAUCCACAGCUGUGCCACCUGUUAGUAUGGAUGCUAUCCAAAAGGAUUUUUGAAACCUUGUUAUCCAAAUGCAGAAAUGGCAGCUGAAGAGAUGAUUUGUGACAGCAUUUGCUGAGACGAAGUCUGUCCACUAGAUGGAUAAAAUCAGUUCCCUUUUCAUAGCUUGAUCAUCUACAUCUGCUAGUGACCCAGUCCCUGAGAGUCACCAAGAAUUGAUUCCACUGAGGCGAUGGCAGGCGGGGCUUUGGUGUUGGAAAAGUCAGUGGUUGAUAUGGACAGCACAGACUCACAUAAGCUGCUGGUUUAUUACACUAGAAAAAUAAGGGAUCCCUUGACCCAGCUCGGCAAGUGUGAAAUCACGAAAUAAAUGAAGGUUAACAAAGACUGGUCUAAGGAAUAGUUCACUACAAUACCGCAAUGCUCUUCUCACUAAUACUCGACUCUGCAUUUCGGUACUUAUAUCUGAAAGAUUUGCAAAUAAUGACAACAUUCGUGCCAGACAUUACUGCAAGUGAGGAACAGACUAAAGGAGAGGAAGGAACAAAAUGCCUUCCAAGAGAGAAACAUUCAUUAGCCUUACUGGCAAGUGUCUAAAGCAAACAAGGAAACUGCAAAAUAAUUACUUAGUUACAAAUAAACGCUUUUAGCACAGU
rnacentral:lncRNA from 1 species